UACGUAGGCAGCGAGCGUUGUUCGGAAUUAUUGGGCGUAAAGGGCGCGUAGGCGGCUUUGCAAGUGGCGGGUGAAAUCCCUCGGCUUAACCGAGGAACUGCCUGCCAGACUGUGAGGCUUGAGACCGGGAGAGGUGAGUGGAAUUCCCAGUGUAGCGGUGGAAUGCGUAGAGAUCCGGAGGAAGACCGGUGGCGAAGGCGGCCUGCUGGGCAGUUACUGACGCUAAGGCGCGAAAGCGUGGGAGCGAACGGAUAGAAAC
rnacentral:rRNA from 1 species